CUUGGUCAUUUAGAGGAAGUAAAAGUCGUAACAAGGUCUCCGUAGGUGAACCUGCGGAGGGAUCAUUACAAGAACGCCCGGGCUUCGGCCUGGUUAUUCAUAACCCUUUGUUGUCCGACUCUGUUGCCUCCGGGGCGACCCUGCCUUCGGGCGGGGGCUCCGGGUGGACACUUCAAACUCUUGCGUAACUUUGCAGUCUGAGUAAACUUAAUUAAUAAAUUAAAACUUUUAACAACGGAUCUCUUGGUUCUGGCAUCGAUGAAGAACGCAGCGAAAUGCGAUAAGUAAUGUGAAUUGCAGAAUUCAGUGAAUCAUCGAAUCUUUGAACGCACAUUGCGCCCCCUGGUAUUCCGGGGGGCAUGCCUGUUCGAGCGUCAUUUCACCACUCAAGCCUCGCUUGGUAUUGGGCAACGCGGUCCGCCGCGUGCCUCAAAUCGUCCGGCUGGGUCUUCUGUCCCCUAAGCGUUGUGGAAACUAUUCGCUAAAGGGUGUUCGGGAGGCUACGCCGUAAAACAACCCCACUUCUAAGGUUGACCUCGGAUCAGGUAGGGAUACCCGCUGAACUUAAGCAUAUCAAUAAGCGGAGGAAAAGAAACCAACAGGGAUUGCUCUAGUAACGGCGAGUGAAGCAGCAAUAGCUCAAAUUUGAAAUCUGGCGUCUUCGACGUCCGAGUUGUAAUUUGUAGAGGAUGCUUCUGAGUGGCCACCGACCUAAGUUCCUUGGAACAGGACGUCAUAGAGGGUGAGAAUCCCGUAUGCGGUCGGAAAGGCGCUCUAUACGUAGCUCCUUCGACGAGUCGAGUUGUUUGGGAAU
rnacentral:sRNA from 1 species